AUUGAACGCUGGCGGCAUGCCUUACACAUGCAAGUCGAACGGUAACAGGUCUUCGGAUGCUGACGAGUGGCGAACGGGUGAGUAAUACAUCGGAACGUGCCCGAUCGUGGGGGAUAACGAAGCGAAAGCUUUGCUAAUACCGCAUACGAUCUACGGAUGAAAGCAGGGGACCGCAAGGCCUUGCGCGAACGGAGCGGCCGAUGGCAGAUUAGGUAGUUGGUGGGAUAAAAGCUUACCAAGCCGACGAUCUGUAGCUGGUCUGAGAGGACGACCAGCCACACUGGGACUGAGACACGGCCCAGACUCCUACGGGAGGCAGCAGUGGGGAAUUUUGGACAAUGGGCGAAAGCCUGAUCCAGCCAUGCCGCGUGCAGGAUGAAGGCCUUCGGG
rnacentral:rRNA from 1 species